UACCACAGCCAUAUCACCCUCCAGCUCAAGACCGGUCACUCACUGAUGCUAAGCAGGGCUGAGCCUGGUCAGUACCUGGAUAGGAGACCACAUGGGAAAACUAGGUUGCUGUUGGAA
rnacentral:rRNA from 1 species